CCAAACCUUCUCAGGCUCCAGCAAAGCCCUCUUGGCUGUGCAUCCAACUGUCUUUCAGGGUCCCCAAGCUCAGUGGGAAGUCAAGAGACAAAGCUACUCCAGUUGGCUGCAAGCAAGGCCUCAGCCCUCCCUCUUAGCUCCCUCCCAGCCUUCUCAGCUAAGUUAAAGUGAAAGGCAGGCGAGGAGGCCAGAGAAGAGGCUACAGACAGAGGCUGGCCAGGCCAAUCUCCAUUUUCAUCAUCUGAUAGCAGGAACAGCAUGUGAGGACCGCGGAUGAAUCGCCAACCUGUGCAGUUACCACCCAACCUCAGCCUACCAGGAGCACUCCAGCCCACACCAGAAACCACUCAUGGAGCGGGCUCCCAACAACCAGGGCCGAGGUGCAGAGAGGAACCUGGGUCCAUCCCUCCAGUGAUUUUGAGUGGUUUUGUUCCUUUCUGCUCCUGCUGCUUGGUAGGAGACAUAGACGACUCCCCCAGCCUCCUCACUCUCUCUCUCUCUCUCUCUCUCUCUCUCUCUCUCUCUCUCUCUCUCCCUCUCCCUCUCCCUUUUUCCUGAGGCAAGUCAUUACCUCACCACGGACAGGGGCCCAGUGGUACCACCACCUCUUACAUUCUAUCCACAUCCAGCCACAAUCAUUUAUCAAUCAGCUAAUGAAUUUUUCCAAAAGCCAAAUAUAGCUCAGGUGCUAGAGAUUAGCACAAAUGGAGUCCCCGCCUUCCAGUUAAAGAGAGAAGCCAAAGGAACGGGCAAGCAGUUUUAGUACCAUGAGGACUCAGGCACAGCAAAAUCAGACCUGAACACCCUGCCUCCUGUGACCUGCUCAUCAUGCUGCGGGCUGCUCCUUCCCCGGUCACGGUCUAACUGAGUAACCUGGGCAGGUUUCUUUGUGUUCCCUCAUUCAUCUCAGCCUGGCAAAAGUGGAUGUUUGAAAGUGACCCACCUAUCUGCCAGGCUGGCUUCACGAUUUGAGUCAGACCCCGUGGGCACCAUCCCUUGGCAAACCAGAAAGCCUAUAUCAGAUUCUCAUGUUCCUCUUUUCUCCCCUGCUCCGUGGGUGCCUAAGGAUCAGGGACCGUCCCCUGGGAGCCAGGAUGAGAACAGGGAGGUUGAUGUGCUGAUGGAGUUGGCCACCCCUCCCUGCCCAGCCUGCCUGGGCAGUACUGCACAGAGCUGGCCUCUAUGUGGGGUUCAGAGAGUCUCCUGGCUCCCACACAGGGCCCUUUUCUCCUGCGCUCCUACACAAAGCUCGCUCACAGUCACCCAUUCAGAAAGCUGGGUGAUUGAAAGGAGGCUGCAGGCCGGCAGGGUGACCUUCGGGUCUGCCUGGGUGGGAGAGAGAGUUAGACCCCCCGAAGUUCCCCAGGCGCUAAGAGGACCAGCUGGGCUUUGAUUCCUCACAGACACAGCUAGGAAGAUACCUUGGGGCGAAGAACGCUGGCCUGAGGUGCUGGCUCCCAGCCCCAGUGAAUUACUUACCCUUCUUUUCAUCACUCCCAUUCACAAAAACCGGAAUAAAUAAU